ACGACUCUCGGCAACGGAUAUCUCGGCUCUUGCAUCGAUGAAGAACGUAGCGAAAUGCGAUACUUGGUGUGAAUUGCAGAAUCCCGUGAACCAUCGAGUCUUUGAACGCAAGUUGCGCCCGAGGCCGUCAGGCCAAGGGCACGCCUGCCUGGGUGUCAC
rnacentral:rRNA from 1 species